GGGCCCGUAAUACUAAACGGGAUGCUCAGUUAGGUAGAGCGCUGGGCUUUUAACCCAGUGGUCGUGGGUUCAAAUCCCACCGGGCCCG
rnacentral:tRNA from 1 species